AUUGCAAUGUUUAUUGAAGAAAAAAAAAACAUUAAUGUUGAUUUAAUGUUCCCUAAGCUAUCUUUAGGAAACUUUUAAAUAUUUGGCCAAAAGGAGAAAUGUAACACCAGUUUCAAGAGUCUCUCACAGACAACAGAUAUUGUUAUUGAAUAUUUAUAGAGGAACUAGAAUCUUGAGAGCUGGCAGUUUAUCUUUCUGGAGACACUUAACUGUGUUAGCUGGAAAAACUAAGAGGGCAAAAAGGACUGAAAACUUCCUUUGUGUCAAAUAUUCUGAUUUUGCAAAGAAAUAUGAAGAAAAUUCUUGAAGAGACUUUACUGACAUCUCCAGGGAUCUGGAUCUGUAUAUUCAAAAUCGAGAGAUCAGCAAUAACAGCAAUAGAGAGCCAACAUUUUGCCAACAGUGGUCAAAGGAGAUGUUUGCAGAAGAAAACAUGGGAAUGUUCAACAUGGAAAAAUUCUACAAAAUAUUAAAAAUACAAAUCAAAACUCUGGUUUCCUCUCACUCAAAUCAACAAAGAUGCUAAAAGAUUAAAAUGUGGAGGAACUGUAAGAAAUCAACAACACAAUAUGCAAAGUAGAUCUACAAAUUGAUGCACUUUCAAAAAAAUUUAAAAUUUUGAAAAUCGAGUCACUAAACUGUUGAUACAUUUGACCUUGUGAUUUUACCAUAGGAAAUUUUUGGGCAAAAAA